GUACAAUAUACAUUUAAUUAGUGUGAGAUUUAGGAAAUGUGCAGUGUAAUAAAACAAUAUUCUAAUUAGGGUUGGGGAAACGUCUGAAAAUGAUUUGCACAGUACCAUCAAAGGAGUUCUUACAAAAUACACUGAAAUCUGCUUUUACCAAGCAGAAAAAAAAAAUCAAACAGAAGAGACAACGUCUUUAUGCCGUUGAAUAUAGUCCCAGGGACAGCACCAGAUAAAAACAAACGUUUGGUAGAAGCGGAGUGGUCAGCCUAGGGGAAAAAAUGGAAUCUCGAUGAGAAAGCCCUAGCUUGAUUGUUAGUAAAAGUCCAGGCUGUCCUCACACCUUAGUUUAUUUUCCUGUGAUUUUAUGCUAUAAGCUCCCUAACUUCCUGUUCAAACACAUCUGUUAGCUGGGAAUGCCACGUGUACCCGUGACCAAGGAUGCUGUGAUUAAUGAUGAUGCAUUUCUUAAGAGCCCCUAAGUCCUGCAAAGGAAUGGGUAAUCUAAACAGACUCUGCGAAAAAACAACCGCCUGAUGGAAGAAACACAGCCGGUGACAACUCCUUUACAGAAAUCAUGAAAUCAGGUAGGUGUAUUUCAGAUGUUUAACUGAUUAAGAGAACUUAAAUGUAUUGGAUAAAAUGCGUCUACAUUAUCUGUUUUAUUUUCUAGUCCUUUAAACUGGGAAGUCAGUGAAUUACCUGUUUAAUGUUUAACAAACGCAGAUGUCUGAGCUGCACCCCAGAUCUGCUGGGAGAAUCAGAAGCUCUGCUUUCCUGGGUGUGAUCUUAUUGUGGAAUGGCAGCAGUACAAGGAGCCGAGCAAAUCACUCAAGAACUUUGAAAGCAUUAUGACAUUCCAUUGGCCCAGCCCAUCAUCAUUGAGACAAGGCAAUAUACUCUCUCUGCUCUUAUGGGAAGCAAUACAAAGUCAUAUAACAAAGGCACGGGUGUCUUGUAAUUCUAUAACAAGGGAGGGAAUAUAGACUUGGAACAUAAUCCAAUCCACUCCAGCUUAAUAUCUAAAAAUGUGCCAUACUACACAAAUAAUGAUGACCUACCUCAUCAUCCAGCCAAGUAGGCAAGACUUUUAUUCUUCCAAAUGACAGUUUCCACAGGAGUGUUUCCAGAGAAAGGCGCACAUGUUAGCAGGCCUACCUGCUGGUUUCCAUCUUAAGUAGGCGGUCUGUCACACUUUAUACCAAAAGCAAGGUUUGUCUUAUAGUUUUCUUUUUAAUAAUUUUCAUGUUAAGUCCUUAAUAUGCCUUGUACCGUCUUACCAUUUAGAUGAAAAACUUCUCCAAGGCAGACUUGUCGUGGAUCUGCUGUGCAGAACGGAGCAGCAAUUUCUGCACCUGUUUGACUUCCUCACCUAGGGCAGUGGUUCAUGACAUCUGACUCCCCAAGAGCAGAGCCUGGGCACUGGCAUUUUUUAAAAGCAUCUCCAGGUAAUUCAAAAGUGCAGCCAGGGUUGAGAACCAUUGGCUAGGGCCUCUGACCCAUGCUUGAAUAAAAACCGCCACAAAGAAGUUGUACCCCACGCGAAACGCCCCUGUGCUAGAAGAAGCCUCAAAGCCAGUUUGCAAGAAGAUAGGUUGUCCUCUCGGGCCCACUCAGACCAGCAUCAUCAGCAUCACCUCGGAGCUCGUGAGAAACGCAGUCUCUCAGGCCCCUCCACAGACCUACUGAAUCAGGAAAUGAGAGUUUAGAAGAUCUCCAGAUGACUCAAAUCCACAUCAAAGUCUGAGAAGUACUGCUGAAAAUCUUAAAUCUUAACGAGGCAAGAUGAAUCAGUCUCCCCUUAGAACGCUUUCUUCUUA
rnacentral:lncRNA from 1 species